AUUGAACGCUGGCGGCAGGCCUAACACAUGCAAGUCGAGCGGAUGAAGGGAGCUUGCUCCUGGAUUCAGCGGCGGACGGGCGAGUAAUGCCUAGGAAUCUGCCUGGUAGUGGGGGAUAACGUCCGGAAACGGGCGCUAAUACCGCAUACGUCCUGAGGGUGAAAGAGGGGGAUCUUCGGACCUCACGCCAUCAGAUGAGCCUAGGUCGGAUUAGCUAGUUGGUGGGGUAAAGGCCUACCAAGGCGACGAUCCGUAACUGGUCUGAGAGGAUGAUCAGUCACACUGGAACUGAGACACGGUCCAGACUCCUACGGGAGGAAGCAGUGGGGAAUAUUGGACAAUGGGCGAAAGCCUGAUCCAGCCAUGCCGCGUGUGUGAAGAAGGUCUUCGGAUUGUAAAGCACUUUAAGUUGGGAGGAAGGGCAGUAAGUUAAUACCUUGCUGUUUUGACGUUACCAACAGAAUAAGCACCGGCUAACUUCGUG
rnacentral:rRNA from 1 species